rnacentral:sRNA from 2 species
AUGGACCUCGCGUCCACUGCGGGUCUGAGCGCGCCGUCCGCGCCCACCUGACAGCUGCUCGCGACGUUGUGUUAGCU